rnacentral:rRNA from 1 species
UACGUAGGGGGCUAGCGUUGUCCGGAAUCAUUGGGCGUAAAGAGCGCGUAGGCGGCCCGGUAAGUCCGCUGUGAAAGUCGGGGGCUCAACCCUCGAAUGCCGGUGGAUACUGUCGGGCUAGAGUGCGGAAGAGGCGAGUGGAAUUCCUGGUGUAGCGGUGAAAUGCGCAGAUAUCAGGAGGAACACCGGUGGCGAAGGCGGUGGUCUGGGCCGGCACUGACGCUGAGGAGCGAAAGCGUGGGGAGCGAACAGG